GUGCUUACUUUGGCAGCACAUAUACUAGAAUUGGAAUGGUACAGAGAUUAUCAUAGUGCCUGCCCAAGAAUGACACACAAAUUUGUAAAGCGUUCAAUAUAGUU